rnacentral:lncRNA from 1 species
AGAAGCAUUUGCAAAAUGCGUAUUUCAUUAUAUUAUAUUUCAUUUUGUAACCUAGAUAACUUAUUGAAGAGUCAAAAAAUUAUCAUUGGGUUCAAUUUUCGACAUAGGAGAGGUUCAAUUUUCCUCUACGGAAAAUUACUACGGAGUUUUAUUUUAUUUUAUGUUCUCAUUCGUUACAAUAAUUACUAUGUGGAGACGUGUCACUAGUAAAACGCAUACGCAGUGAUGUAUCGCGUAAAUAAUUAAUAUCCAAAUCACAGAUGGUCCGGUACGGAUUCUUGCUGAACACCAGCUGAAAUAUCUCGAAGAGACGAAUUAUUUUCUUGCAUUACAAAUAUAUAGAAGAUGUGGUGUGAGUGCAAAUGAGACAACUCUCCAUCCAUUUAUGCUCUCCGGAUCCCUUUUCUAUCAAUCUGUAAACCAAUAAUAAAAGCUUUCAUUAGUACCAUGAGCUUUUAUUUUG